rnacentral:lncRNA from 1 species
AGCUUUAUCCUUAGAGAAAAACAUUCCCCACCUCUACUACAUCAAAUAAAUUUAAUACUCGUACUUAUUUGAUUUUUCUACAACAAUUUGAAUUUCUUAGACUUUUAAAAGUUUCAUCCUUAGUUCUAAGUAAGUAAACAUAUGCUUUCAUUCACAAUUACUCCCUUGGAAGUAGAAAUAUAGUAGUGAUGAAGAUAAGGUCUGACCUCUCUCUACACCUACAUCCACCAUAGAUCUUAUCAAAACAAACCCUCUGGACAUAAUGGCACUAGAUACGGCCAAAGUCAACCAUCAAUCCCCAAUAUGAACUACUUAAACGCCUUUGCGCAGACAGUACCAUCAAGUAGCCCCACUGCCUGUCCACCGGACAAACCUACUGAAACAAUGGAGGUGGACAUGACUCACGAGGAAGAAAUGCUUCAGGAUGUACCAAGCAAUAGUACGAUUGUGCUAAUGGCGAAAGACAAAGUACGGAUCCAUAGACUAUGUUCCUACUCGGUCAUAAUUAAAUUAACGAGGAAAAAAGUCAACCACGCCUACCUAAAGCAUCAAUUAAACAAAUUGUGGAAACCAUUGGAGAAUUAAUAAUCAUUGAUUUGGGCAAUGACUAUUUCAAAGUCAAAUUCCUCAAAGAUAUGAACAUGCUCACAACCCUCCAAAAAAAUCAUGGUUCAUAAAUGCAGCUUUCUUUCGGUUAGGAAAUGGCACCCUAACUUUGUGGCAUCGGAAGCACAUAAAAAUGUCUCUGCAAUUUGAAUUCGCCUACCGAAACUAACCACAGAGUACUAUGACCACUUAAUCCUACCAAAAAUAGGUAGCAAAUUGGGAAAAUUGGUCAAGACAGACAUAUGCACCUCAGCUAGACUUAGAGGACGAUAUGGCCAAAUAUGCAUCGAGGUACCCUUAGAAACUCCAGUAAAAACCCACAUCUAUAUUGGAAGACUAAAAUAACAAAUUCUGUAUGAGGGUGUCUAUAUUUUGUGUACCAAGUGCGGCAUGAUAGGACGUACAUGUGUCCUGUUGAAAUCACCAUACCAUUCCUGCAGUGACCCCUCCGGAUAAAGCUAUGGUCACCACAAAGGAAGUAUGUGCACAACAAAAUAAAAUCAAUAAAGAUGAUUGGCAAGUGGUCCAAUUCAAAAAAUGCCUUAACAACAGAAAAAUUAAGCCAGUUCAAUAGGGUGUCCACGAAGGCCCAAGCACGAAGAGCCCCUCUCAACCUAGGGGAAAACCAUGGCACACCACCCACCCAGUGUAAAUGCAGGUAAGUUACUUGACCAUCAGAUCAAUUAAUAUGUACCCAAAUCUACGGAUGUUUGUACUGCUAGUUGCUCGGAUAGAUAUGCCCAAUUCGUCCAAAAAAAUAUGCUUACAAAAUCAACGAAAGAUACCAUGAUCCAAAUUCUUCUGCUUUCCAAAGUAGAAAAAAAGAGCAUGAUGUCAUAAGUGACAGGCUGGAAAGCAAGGUAGAAAAAAUUAUCAUCAUGCCCUUAAAAAGGUGCACAGUAAGUGAACCCAUAAAAAAUGAAGGGCUUACAAUGGCCCCUAGUGGAAGUCUAGGAGCACAGACACGUCACGUCCUACUGUGACCUCCCACUGUCCCAAUAAAAAUGUGCCACGUCAAAACUCCUUAAACGUGGACAAUCAAACUACCUCUAAUAAUAUAAGCCAAAAUAACACUUUUAGCGAAACAUCCUUAUUAAAACAUACUAAAAAAAGUAACAAAAUUCAAAGUACAACAUUACUAGAUUUAGGGAAGGGGCCCACAAUAUAUCCUCAAUCUCCUACUUCUAAUAUCCCUGGACCUUCACAAACUACGAUAAAUAUUAUCUCCAUAAGUAACAUUAAUAAACCCAUCAAACCUUCUAUAAAUACCAAGAAUACCCAGAUGUUCAAGAAAACCGUCGAGCUCACAGAAGAAACUCCCAAACACAACCUACAAUGAAUUCGCUGAACCUAAAUACAACCCAAAUCUACCUCCCACAUAUUCACCUCUACCCAGUAUCAGGUACAAUAUCAUAGGUAGAGAUGGUCUUACUAGGUCAAGCCUUCAUAAUGCAUGUAUAUAUGGAAGAAAGGGAAGCCAUGUUCAUCAUCAGCACGCUGGAGCUACUGGAUCAGGGGGGGGGAGGGAAGGGAUGAGGAGAGUGAUGGAGUUGUACAACAGCCAUGUUUGGAUGUCUACUCUACUACAAUAUUUCAUGAACUUCUCAGUCCUAACCAUCCUUUUCUUUUACAUACCGACGUGGGAAACUCUAACAGCCCCCAUGGCACAGAUCCCUCCACCAUAAAUAACCCAGUCAACACCACCAUACUUUUUGACCUACCACAAAUUCAUAGAUAUCGACCCACUAUACUACCAUCGGCAGUUGCAAGGGUCGACCAUGGGGGAGGUUUCACUGCAGAACCAACCGACUCCGAGUAGGCCACUGGAGAAUCAGGCAGUCCCAACAGUCAACAAUGUAGCCUCGUCCUCCCAUGUACUACCCAAUAUCACUUUAACUCAUCCAAGACUAGUGAUUACCUUACUCAGGAAAUAGAGGAUACAUUAGAGAUAAUACGAGAAAUAAGAAUCAAAAUAACUGUGUUAAAGGAUAUAAAAGCAAUGGUAUUCAAUGACAAGUACGCCAUGAAAUUCAUCCUUAUCUAUCCCCAAAACUUAAUAAGGACAUACCUAGACAUCCGUUGACCUUUCAACCCCCAGGUGGGGAAUUCUGUCCUGGUCAUGAACCCAACAGUGAUGAACCAAACUUUUCCUUUGACAAAUACCUCAAGAGCAGCUCCGUUGAUCAACCCACCACAAAGGAACAUAUCCAUGAACAUCAUAAUAUGAAACUGUAGAAGGGAAAAUGGUCAGGAUUUUAGAAAGAACUUUAGAUCCUUAGUAGACUGGCACAAACCGCCUUUUGUUGCCCUACUAGAGACUAAGAUGCAAGACAACCAGUUGCUACUCAAUGACUUCCCUUUUAAUAGGAUCAUUGAGGUUACAGUAAUUGAAAAUGCAGGUGGGCUAACUGUUAUGUGGGAUGACUCUCUCCUAAAACUAGAUGAAAUCGCCACUACAGACCAGAAAAUUCAUGCUAUAGUUAAGGUAAGACAAAAAAAUGACAUGUGGUUGUUUAGCUGUAUUUAUGCUAAUACAUUCAUAUGUAAACGCAAGAUACUAUGGCAAAAUCUCCAAAAUAUCAAGGAUAACUUCCCAGGUAAGUGGUUGAUAGGAGGAGACUUAAUGAACUCUUGUCAAACUCAGAAAAGAAAGGAGGUAAGUUAAUUAAUCAAACACGAUCAUCAGAAUUUCAACAUAUGAUAAAUUAUUGUGAAUUCAUAGUUAUGUGCUAUAAAGGUAUUAAAUAUACCUAGUUAAACAGAAUAUUCAAAAGUCAUAAUGCUUUGAUUUUAGAGAGGUUGGGCAGAUUCCUUGCUACUAAUGAUUGACUGGUUAGUUAUCCUAAUGCCCAUGUCAUUUAUCUUCCACGUACCCAUUUCGACCAUUGUCCUCUCCUAUUGACCCUGUUUAAAGAUGAGCAAAAUCUGCGGAAGUGCUUCUUUAAAUUUAAAAAAUAUGGACGACUCACCCGAAUUAUAUUAACGUCAUUUAUCAUGUAUGGAGGAACAACCCUCCACUAGAAGAAGCAGUAACAACUUUUGAAGAAGAACCAUUUUCAUGGGCAUGCAAGAAUAUAAGGAACAUCUUUAGGAAAAAAGAUAAGCUUCUUCGUAGAAUCCAGGGAAUCCAAAGUUCCCCAAACUAUCAUCACAACAUGUUCCUUAUCAAUCUAGAAAAAAACCUCAUACGUGAUUUUAACAACAUUCUUAGGAUGGAAGAGGACUUCUGGAAGCUUAAUUCCAGAAUAACUUGGUUGAACGAGGAUGACGCUAAAAUAAAAAAAUUUCACACUUCGACGUCAAUUAGAAGAAGUAAAUAUAAAAUAGUAUCCUUAAAACUGGACAAUAACUCUUACAUAAAUGAGCAAUCGGAUAUAGUAAACCAUAUUCUAGAUUUUUUCAAGGACCUGUUUAAAUCCAACCAUCACAAAUCCUUCAGAGUCGUAGUUCCUAAAGCUAAAGUAUGCCUCUCCGAAAUAGAUAAACUGGACCUGGGGAGAGUGCCCUCUGAAAAUGAAGUUCGAGAGGCUGUUUUCUCUUUUCAACCCUUUAAAGCCCCUGAUGGCUUACACCCAUACAUCUACCUAAAAUAUUGGUAUAUUGUAAGUCAGUCUGUUUUUUCCUUCUGCAAUAGAGCCUUUAUGGAAUCCAAGAUUAACCCAAGUACCAAAUCAACACAUAUAUGUCGUAUUCCUAAAAGUCCUAAUGCACAGACUCUCAAAAGUUACCGCCCUAUCAGUCUAUGUAAUACUUCUUAUAAAAUAUUCAUGAAAAUAAUCUCCAGAAGACUGCAUCCCAUCAUGGAUAAAAUCAUCGAGCCCUAUCAAACUAAUUUCCUUAAAAAUAGACAAGCCACUGACAAUGUUAUAGUCAUACAAGAAAUAAUCCGACAUUUCAAAAAAAUGAAAGGGAAAAAAGGCAAUGUCAUUACGAAAAUAUACUUAAAAAAGGGUUUUGAUAAGAUGGAAUAGCCGUUCAUAAGACAUACCUUACAUUACUUUAACUAACCCAAAAACAACAUAGACCUUAAAUGUCAUGUAUUUGUACUAGCUCAGUAUCAGUCUUAGUCAAUGGUACGAGGACUGAAUUUUUAGCCCCUCGAGAGGGAUUUGCCAGGGAAAUCCCAUAUCGCCGUACAUUUUUAUUCUUUGCAUGAAAGUCCUGUCCCAUAACAUAAAUCGGGACCUCAACAAUAAUAUGUGGAACCCUAUAAAAAUUAGCAGGACGGGCCCAUACCUGUCCCAUCUAUUCUUUGCUGAUGACUUAGUACUAAUGUCUACGACUGAUAGGAGCAAAUGCAUAAAUAUCGAAGGAACCCUCUACAAUUUUUGCACCUGGUCCGGGCAAAGCAUCAAUUAUGGUAAAUAAAAAAUCCUUUUCUCAGAUAAUUGUGAUGAAAGUAACAAAAGUACUAUUUCUUCUAUCCUUAGUAUCAAAUUAUGUACGAAUUUUGGGAAAUACUUGGGGUUUUCUAUUUUUAAUUCUAAGCCCAGUGCCAAAGAUUUCAAUUCAUCAACGAUAACCUUAAGAAAAAACUUUUGGGAUGGAAAGCAAAUUUCUUAAAUAUUGUUGGGCGCACUACCCUUACAAAAUAUUGCCUUAAUAAUAUCCCUACCCACAUAAUGCAAUAUAAUAAGCUCCCUCAAACAGUCGUCAAACAGAUCGAUAAAAUUCAGCGGGACUCUGUCUGGGGAACUAACACUACCGAAAAAAGAAUGCACUUUGUGGGCUGGGACACCCUUGUCAAACCUAAAAACAAGGGAGUCUGGGUUUUCAAAAAACUAAUACUAAAAAUAAAGCUCUUCAUGCAAAGUUGGCACGGAGAAGCCAAAAUCUCUAUGGUCUUCUGUUCUUCUAGCCGAGUAUACUAGUAAUAACAACCUUGAGGGGAUUAGUCACAAUACCAGAAACAAUAGUAGUACUUGGAAAAAUGUCAUUAAAGGAUAGAGGGUAUAUGGAACGAUACUUGUUUGUCCUUCAAGUCCCCUCUGAGGAACUCAAUCCAUACUGCUUUGAACUUGGGGGAGGAAAACUUACCUGUUGAAACACUAAUAAAGAAUGGAACAUGGGAUCUUUCCUCCUUAGGAUAUGACCUUCCGGAGGGCAUAACUGCCACCAUAAAGGCUACUAUUAUAUCGAAAAAUCUUAAUUUGAGCGACAAACUCAGGUGCACCUUAGCCCCUGGGAAAUGGUUUUCUACAGGCCUAGCGUACUAUCAUAUUCUAGCAAAAAAUCUUAAUGUUGCUGAUCCCAUUGCUGUCUUUAAAUAGGUUUGGAAAUUGAAGUGCCCCAAUAAGAUAAAGUUUUUUAUUUGGUUGUGUUACCACAAAAUGCUCCCGACUAAAGCCUCACUAAGUCACAUAGGCAAAAAAGUGGAACCCAAUACAACAUCUGCAACGCAACCGAAACCAUAGAUCACAUCUUCCGAGAAUGCCCUAUGGCACUCCAGUUCUUGUACAAUAACAACUUGUUUUCAAUCAUUCAACUCUUAAAAGAUUUAUCCUUUAUUGAUUGGCUUGAUAAAAUUAGGAAAAUGUCUAACGUACGAAUAGGGAGCUACAUGCUUUGGAGUGAGGUAUUUCUUUUCUAACUUUGAAACAUCUGGUUGACUAGAAACGAUAAUUUGUUUAGUAAUAGAAGUAAUCUCAUACCCACAAACCUUUCAUAAAACAGGGCCUUGGAGUUCCAUUUACUAACUAGUACCCACAGGUCCACCAAACAAAAUACAAUUGAACAAUGGCUACCCCCUACGGAAGGAUGGAAGUUGAAUAUUGAUGGCUCUUUUGGCCAUAACACUAGGAGAGGGAGAGCGGGAGGAUUACUACGUGAUAACAAAGGAAAUUGGAUUAAAGGUUUUCGGGAUAGCAUUAGUGCGAAUUCGCCACUUGAAGCCGAGACAACUGCUCUAUAUCUGGGUUUAUGAUUAGCUAUUCAGCUGAAGUGUGAAAAAUUGAUUAUUGCUACUGAUUCUCAAUCCUUAGCUUCACUUUGCACAGAUAAACCUGAGAUCGAUGACAGUCUUAUUGUUUUGUGCAGGGAUCUUCUUCGAAUGCUGGGGAACCCGCGGGUAUGCCAUGAAGGAAGGACUUGUAAUAGAGCUGCGGACAAGCUAGCUAAGGCGGGUAGAAGGAUGAAAACAAAUCAGCUUUUUGAGGAAUGGUCAGUUCUUCCCUUAUUUAUUGUAGGACUAUUGAAAUAGAUAAAAAAGAAACUUCUUUUGCAGGGUCUAGUGAACCCGUAGUACCAAAUGUUUGUACUAAAAGUAGUGACUAUGGACACUCUCUAUCGCCUUUCUUGAACGCAGCUUUGUAUAAUGCAUAUUAAUAUUAAAUAAAAUCUCCUUUUAACCAAAAAAAAAAAAAGUAAAUAAACAUAUAUAAAUCUAGAGAAGUCAUCUAUAAAAAAAAAUUAAAAUUAUCUUUUGCUUCAUCUAAUUAAUUUAUCAUUUAAUUCACAUAUGCCCAAAUGUGUUAGAUUUAACAAUUCUGUAUUAAUCCACUACAUUGCAACAACUUUUAUUGGUUUUGAAGCUGUAAAUAUUAAAAAGUAGAUAAAAGAGACCAGCUGUAAUUUGGAGGGAGUUGAAAAAAAUAUUUGAACCGUUGAGCUCAGGUAAUUCCAAAGUUGAGUGUAAAACAAUUGCUUUAAGCCUAAAAAAAUGAAGAUGCCAAAUGAGCCAAAUCAUUUUUUACUUCAAAAUAGAUUUGAACAAUUUAAAUAUAUUAAAUUAUUAAUAUUAUACUUAAUGGUAAAAGUUUAAAAUUGCUAGACAAAUGAGAAUUUGAAACAUAUACCAAUCAUUUUUUAUUUCCAAACAAAUCUCUAUAAUCUAAAAUGUAUGGAAUUGUUUUUAACAUUUUAUUGAAUGGUGACAAUUUGAAAUUACUGCACAAUGAGCAUUUGAAAAAUAUUAUCUUAAUCUUGAAUGUUUCCUAAAACACUAUACAAGUAUUUGUGAAUGGUAGGGAUAUGCACAAGAUGGCUGCAACACCGCCAUUACAAAUAAAUUCAAUUUAAAAACACGUCAUAAUUUUUUUUUAUAAAAUUUCAAACUCAUAUUGAAGUUUGGUUUAUAAAGUUUCCUUGUUAUUGACAUAAUAAAAAAAAAAUAGUCUCACAUAAAUAAUGUUAGUUAUGUGAUUCACAAAAUAAAAUUUUUCGAUACAAAAUAUAAAAUUUCUCUACUUCAUCUAGUUUGGGUAGUAUUGAGAAGGAAGAUUUGUAGUAUUGAGAAGGAAGAUUUUACUAAUUUGUAUAGUAUCUUUCAAAUACAGUUUCUUUUACAAAGAUAUUUUCUUGAAGACUAUUGUCCAACAUUAUAUUAAUUGUGAUUGUCUUGCGCAUAUACUUUUAUUACAUAACCAUAUUUAAAUAAAGUAGCACUUAUGAGCUGAUACCAAAAAAUUUUUUUGAGCUGUGUAACACCACAUAAUACUCUAUAACUAGCUCGGUUUAAUCUAAUGAUUUUUUUUGAAGUAACGUGUGUAGUCAAGGUGUUAUGAACUCACUCGACGGUAAUUAAUGGCAUGUUGAAAAUAUGUUAAGGGACAUAUAAUAUGGUUUGACAUUAGUUGAAGCAAUAGGAUGACUUAAAAUAUUCAAAACGAACAAGAUAAAACGUAUCAGAACCCAAUCGUAGCUUGAGUCAUAUGAGCAAGCUAAUGAAUGAUUUUAAAAAACAUUAUGUGAGUUAGUUAUUUAUAUUAUGAAUUAUACAAACCUUUCCAUAUUGACAAAACUUUAGUAAAAUUUUUGGGAAGAUCGAACUUGUGGUUGGAUAUUGAAUUUAUAUUGAAUUUUAUGACUCAAAAUCAAUUUAAAUCACAUUCUUAGCCAUGAAAUUAGAAUUAAUGAGAUGACUCAACUUAUUUCCCACGAAUUGCUAUGAAACUCACAAAUUAGAAAGUUUAAGCAAAUCUUUUCGAGUCAAAGUGAAUAAAAUUAUAAUCUUUGGUCAUUGGCGCAAUUGAAACCAAUCUUUAUGUAAAUUGUGAGCUUAUGAAUCGGGACAAUUUAAAGAAAGUACGAAAUUGAAGUUACGCUUGUAUCCCUAGGUAAGUUAAAACUUACUUAAUAGAAGUGAUUUUAGUAACACUCAUGUCCCUUGUGUGUUCAAUGAAAUAUUAAAGGGAACUUUAGUGACUAUAUUGUAGGAACAAACGAGUGCUUAAUCCAUUUUUUUACUCAAUCAACAACAACAUACUUAGUGUAUUCCCACAUAGUGGGAUCAAAGGAGGGUAAAGUGUAUGCAGGUUAUACCACUACCUCAGGUGAAGUAGAGAGGUUGUUUCCGACAGACUGUGGCUCAAGACAACUAACAAUAUAACAAAUACAAAAAUAUAUAAACUAAUACAGUAUGCAAAAUAAACUAACACUGCUAGCUAAUAUAGGAAACAAUACAACCCCAAGAUAAUACUCUAAACUAUCUAUCCGAAAUCAUAGACAUCACUCAAACACCAAGAACAAUAACUUCAGACGCAAACAAAGUACUUUUCCCUAUUGUUACAGAUGCACUCCUACCCCCUAACUAUCUACCCUAAUCCAUGUCUUCCACACCUUCCUAUUAAGGGUCAUGUCUUCCGUAAGCUAUAAAUACUCUAUAUCAUGCCUAAUCACCUCCCUCCAAUGUUUACUCGGCCUACCUCUACCCCGCCUAAAACCAUCUAUUGUCAGCCUCUCACACCUAUGUACUAGAGCAUCCGAUCCCCUCAUCAUCACGUGUCUAAACAAAUGUAAUCUCACUUUUCGUAUCUUGUCCUCAUCUGAAGCCACUCCCACCUUCUCCCGAAUAAUCUCAUUCCUAACCCUAUCUUUCCUGGUAAGGACACACAUCCAUCGCAACAUCCUUAUGUCCACCACCUUCAACUUUUGAAUGUGGAAGUUUUUAACUGGCCAACACUCUACUUCAUACAACAUAGUCGGUCGGACUGUCACUCUGUUGAACGUACCUUUAAACUUCGUAGGCACUUUCUUAUCACACAAGACUCCCGAAGCGAGCCUCCAUUUCAACCACCUUGCACCAAUAUGGUGUUUGAUAUCCUCAUCAAUCUCACUGUUCACCUGAAUCAUAUACCCUAGAUACUUGAAACUCUCCCCCUUUUGAAUGGUCCGAGAAUCUAGCUCCACUACCACUUCAACCUCCUGCGAUAAAUCACUAAACUUACAUUCCAAGUACUCUGUCGUGGUCCUUCUUAAUCAAAAUUCUUUAGAAUCAAGGGUCUAUCUUCAAAUCUUUAACUUAUCAUCAAAUUCUCUCCGAGUCUCGUCAAUCAGUAUCAUAUCAUCAGCAAAUAACAUACACCAAGACACCUCCCUUUUUAUGUCACGUUAAAACAUUCAUCACCAAGGCAAAUAAAAAAGAGCUAAGUGUUGAUCCCUGGUGAAACCCUGUCAAAAUGGAAAAGUGCUCCGAAUCUCCACCUACUGUCCUCACACGAGUCUUCAAUCCAUCAUACAUGUCCUAAAUCAACCUAGUGUAUGCUACAGACACCCCUCUAGCCUCCAAGAAUCUCCACAGAAUCUCCCUGGAGACUUUGUCAUAUGUUUUCUAAAGUUUAAUGAACACCAUGUGCAAGUUCUCCUUCCUCUUCCUAAAUUGCUCCACUAAUCUCCUCACGAGGUGAAUGACCUCAGUAGUCGAAUGACCUAGCAUGAAACAUGACUAAUUCUCUAAAAUAGUCAUAAUCCUCCUCAGCCUCAACUCUACCACCCUUUCCCAAACCUUCAUAGUAUGACUCAACAGCUUGAUACCCCUAUAAUUGUUGCAACUCUGAAUGUCCCCCUUGUUCUUAUAUAAUGGAAUUAUCUUACUCCACCUCCAAUUUUCAGGCAUCUUUGCUGCCCUAAAAAUAAUAUUAAACAACUUUGUCAGCCACUCCAAACUUGCCUGGCCCACAGGUCACCCUAUCCCUACACAUUCUGAAAAUAGCCCCCGAGACACCCUCGACCUUGAGACGCCUACAAUAACUAUAAUCGCGACACCUCUCAGAAUUCUCCAAUUCCCAUAUAAAACCUUUAUCCCUCUCGUCAUUCAAAAUUUUAUAGUAAUAGGACUGCCACCUCUUCCUAAUAAGGGCAUCCUUAACCAACAAUGUACUAUCCCCCCUUGAUGCACUUCACUUAGUCAAGGUCACGAGCCCUCCACUCCCUGGCCUUGGCAAGCUUAUACAACUUUUAUCCACAUAUUUCUCCUCUAAAGUCGCAUACAAGCUCUCAAAAGUUGUUGUCUUAGCCGUUGUAACCGCUAACUUAGCCUCUCUUUGAGCUACCUUAUACUCCUCCUGCCUCUAUUUAUUAUUCUUUCUCUCAACCAACUUAGCAUAAGCCACCUUAUUAGUCUCCACCUUCCUCUUGACUUCUUUAUUCUACCACUAGUCCCCCCGAUGGUUGCCAGAUCAGCAUCUCGAGACAUCCAACACCUCUCUAGCGGUCUCCCUAAUACAACUAGCAGUCGUCUCCCACCAAUUAUCCAUAUCCCCUCUACUCUCCCAGGCCCCUUAGUCGUCAACUUCUCCUCCAUAUAAUAUAUGUGAUGUAUGUUACUAUAUGUAACUUUCAUGCAAUUUGUCUCAAUUUUUAGAAAACAUAUAUGCUUAUGUAUAUUACUACUUGCUAUAUGCAAUGAUGCUUAUUGUUAAGCUUAAACUAAUGUGAUCACAUUUUUAAAUGUGAGCUAGUUGAACUCCCUGAAACAUGAGUUCCACAAAGGUCAAGAUUGGCUACCUUACAUUUGUAUGAUCUACUUAUUUGUGGUAAGAGAUAGGUCGAAACUCCCCCUUGUAUAAUGAUUGUUCCACACAGGGGCAGAGCCUGCCUUUGGCAUAAGGGUUCAUCUGAAUCUCUUUCGAUGAAAAAUUAUACUAUUUAUAAAUGACUAAAAUUAUUUUUAUGUAAAUAUUGAUAGAAAAUAAACUACAAAAUGAAAAUAAAAGAGACUCUGCAAGUGUAAAAACUUUCUUAGUAUAUUCAAUCUUCAAAAUACUCUUCAGUUUAAUUUGCAAACACCUAUCUUAUCACGUAGCUUUAGAAAUGACACUGGUUUUAAAGGCUUUGUGAACAUAUCUGCAACCUGCUCUUCACUUCUGCAAAGAUAAGACUAAUCUUUGCAUCCUUAGUUAGAUCACGUAAGAAGUGAUACUUCACAUCUAUAUGCUUAAUCCAUCCAUGUUCAACUGAAUUCUUUGAAAGAUUAAUCGCUAAAGUAUUAUCAUAAUAGAUUGGCGUCGGUCCUUCCUGCUUAAAAUGAAGCUCUUUAAGAAUGUUCCUCAGCCAAACAACUUGACAAGCGCAUGACGUUGCAGCAACAUACUCUGCCUCAGUGGUCGACAAAGUAACAAUAGGUUGCUUCUUUGAAGACUAAGAAACAACUCCAGACCCCAACAUAAAUACAUAUCCUGAUGUACUUUUUCUAUCUUCAAGAUUUCUAGCAUAGUCACUAUCAGUGUAACCAACCAAAUCUCCAGCUGCUUUCAUUUUAGAAAAAAAUUCAAAAUUAUUGGUACCAUUUAAGUACCGCAGAAUUCUCUUAGCAGCUUGUAGAUGCAUUUCUUUUGGAAACUCCAUGAACCUACUAAUGAGACUUACAACGUGCAUAACAUCAGGCCUUUUUGUUGUCAAGUACAUCAAGCUUCCCACAAUUUUCUUGUAUAAAGUGUUAUCCACUUUUAUCCCUUCAGGUUCUUUAACGAGCUUCAGACCCUUCUCCAUUGGUGUGCUUACAGUGUUGCAGUUUUUCAUCUAAAAUUUAUCCAAAAUAUCUUGCACAUUUUUUUUAGAUUAAAACUGCCAUCAACAUUGUCUUGUUGAUUUAUUUUCUGCUCAUGAACCAACAAAGAGCCCUAUAACUCGUCAAUAGAAAGAGCAUAAACAUCUUUUGAUUCUUCAAUAGAACAGACUAUAUAAUUGAACUUUGCAGUCAUCGAGUGCAGUAUUUUUUCUAUGAUGGUAACAUCCUCCAAUUUUUCUCCAUAAAUUCUCAUUAUAUUUGUGAUAGCCAAUACCUUAGAGAAAUAAUCUAUUACCGACUCACUACCUUGCAUACGUAGAGCCUCAAACUCACCAUGAAGCGCUUGAAGUUGCACUCGUUUUGCCUUUGUUGUUCCUUGAUACUUCUUCUUCAUGGAGUUCCAUAUUUGUUUAGAAGUAUCCUUGCAAAGAAUGGUUUCUAGUAUUGAGCGAUAAAUAGUUUAGAAAAGAUAAUUCUUCGCUUUGAGAUCCUUAAACUUAGACUGUCCAGCUCUGCCUUCUGUGCUUCCGAUAAGGCAUUACCAGUGAUUGGCUCUUGCACGCCAAUACUCAUAACUGGCCAAUAUUCUUUAGACCGAAGAAAGUUCUCCAUAAAUGUACUCCAAUGGUCGUAGUGACCAUUGAAACAUGGAAUAGCAGCCUGAACAAAAUUUUCAGUGGUCAUUGUUUUGUUGCUGUAAUAGCACUCUAAAAGAGAAAAAAAUAUUUUUCUAACUUGGAUACCAAAUGAUAGAAAAUAAACUGCAGCAAUGAAAAGAAAAGAGACUCUGCAAAUAUGGAAAUUUUCUUAGUAUAUUCAAUCUUCAAAAUACUCUGUUACAAGAGUUAAAUCGAUGAAACUAGUAAGCAAAAGAACACGUUUAUUCUCCUAAAAAAUCUGAAUCUAAAAAACUGACUGCACGUUAACUUAUAGCCUAAAGAUUAGUAACAACGUAUUGACUCCUAAAUAAACACAAUAGCUAAACUACUACUCCACAAAGCCAUUCACGUUGCCAACACAUAAAAUAGAUUCAAACCACCUUCGAUUAGUUUUUCUUCAAAUUUGAACCCCCUGGGUGAAAAUUCUGGAUCCGCCUUUGUUUCCAUGAAUGCAAGGUCAUGAGUGUUAAAACACUCUUUUUCAACAAAUUCUCUUAUCACAUUUACUCACCUUACAGUUUCAAAUUUCAGAUAAUCAAUAUCAAUUUUUAAAACUUAAAUUCAAUCGUAUGUUUUACUUGUAAACAUUUCCCUUUGUAAGUCUUGUUCGAUCUUUUCAGCCGGAAGACUAAGUAUCAUGUCGGUGAUACUUGGCCCGUGAGAUCCUACUCCCAUUUUAGAUUGCUAAUUUAGCUGAGCAAGAUCUUGCUACGACCAAUUAGCUUUAGCCUUCAGUCGAACUUACCUUUCGAUAUUCACCUCUAUGGGAGAUCAAGUUGAUGUGAUCACAUUUACACAUGAAAUCUAGUCGACCUCCCUGAACAUGACUACCACAAAGAUCAAGGUUCCACCCAUUAUGUGUUAAAAGACACUUUUUUCAAUAGAAUUCUCUUUUCAGAUUAACUUCAUUUAAUAAAAUUCUUUUUUCAGAUUAACUUAGAUUAAUAUCAACUUUGAAAUUCAUUUAGUUAUAACUUGUAAGUAAAAUAUUUUAUUUCAAAAGAAUUUAGUUAGUGUACGAAAGAAGUUAUAAUGUAGCUUGUUUUAGAAGCUGAUUUUUUUACUUGGAGAAAAAGAAAAAAAUCAUGGUGGCCUUUUGUUACAAGUGGCACCUUUCUGUCCAAGCAUCAUAGACACUUUUGAUCUAUAUAGCCUAUAAAUAGGCAUUCUUUGCUUCAAAAAAUGUAAGAAGGAAGGGAAAAAACAGAAAAAACUUAUUAUUAACAGUAACCAACUUUCUAUUUUCUCUUUGUUUUAAUUUCCUACUCCCUCAAUUUUCUCCUCUUUUCACCCUUUUUUAUACUUCCUCCGUUUCAUAAUAAAUAAAUUAUUUAAUUUUGACAUAGAGAUUAAGGAAAAAACAUUAAAGACAUAAAUUUAACACAACUUUUCAUUUUUACCUCAAAAAAAGAAAAAUGAUGAUCUUGUAAUACCUUUUCAAAAGUUAAUUGAUUGCCAAAUCAUAAGGGUAAAUUUGAAAAAAAAUUCAAUGAUUCACUUAUUUUGAAACACUAAUAAAUACCCCAACAAUUCACUUAUUUUGAAACAGAGGAAGUAUUAUUAUAGAAUUUAUUAAAGGGUUCUAUUAUUUAUAUUAUUUUUUAUUAAAUUUAUUGGUAUUUGUAUUAAUAAUUUUGUUGAUUCUUGUAUCCUCUAAUUAAUUAGGAAAGACUGAUUUAAUUCUGAAUAUCCUCUAAUUAAUCAGGAAAGUGAUUAUUUAAUCAUAGAAAAAUAUUUCACGCUACUGAAAUCGUUUCUUAGGACAAUGCCUAGACCGACUCGAGUAUAAUUAAUAUAAUAUCGUAGUAAUAUUUAUUUAAUAUUCAAUAUCAUUAACUUGCUAAUAAGUAAUUAUAUUUUUGUUAUAAUUAGUAUAUAAAUUAUAUUAUUAUUAUUAUAGUAGUAAUACUAUUAUAUAUUUGUUGCUAUAUUAUUAUUUUGUUAACAAUUUAAAAACAUUCUUAUUGGUAUUUUACCGUUGCAAUCUUAGAAACUAUGACAAAUAAUUCUACUCAUGGUACUUCUAGUACUGAUGCAACUCCUAAUACUCCUGUUUCGAUUGUUCAAUCAUAUGCUAAGCCAUUUUUUAAUGUUUAAAAUAUUGAAAUAUUUGCUAAUGAAAACUUUAAAAGGUGGCAAGUACGAAUUUUUUCAUUACUUGAUGUUCAUGUUGUAGCAAAUGCUUUGUCACAAACACAGCCUGAUGCAAAUGUUGAUAGCCAAAUUUUGGAAUCAUGGCAAUACGCCAA